rnacentral:rRNA from 1 species
AUUGAACGCUGGCGGCAGGCCUAACACAUGCAAGUCGAACGAGUGGCGGACGGGUGAGUAAUGUCUGGGAAACUGCCUGAUGGAGGGGGAUAACUACUGGAAACGGUAGCUAAUACCGCAUACCAUCAGAUGUGCCCAGAGUGGAGUAGCGAGUUGGUGGGGUAACGGCUCACCAAGGCGACGAUCCCUAGCUGGUCUGCGAGGAUGACCAGCCACACGGGAACUGAGAAACGGUCCAGACUACGACGUGAGGCAGCAGUGGGGAAUAUUGGACAAGGGGCGAAAGCCGGAUGCAGCCAUGCCGCGUGUGUGAAGAAGGCAUUCGGAUUGUAAAGGACUGUCAGCGGGGAGGCGUUACCCGCAGAAGAAGCAACGGCUAACUCCGUGCCAGCAGCCGCGGUAAUUC